rnacentral:lncRNA from 1 species
CAUAAUUGUAAAAUAACGUGAAUAAUACCACGUUUUAGUGAAAAUUAUGGGAAUAAAGUCUGUUAAUGGGUUGGACAAUUAAAAUUGUGUCAGUUAAGAGUUAUUUAGCCACGACAAUAAUUUUGCUUCCUUUAUAUUUUCCCCUUGAAAAAUUUAAGAAUGAGAUGUUCCUGAGUAAACAAAAAUGACAAUACGGUGCCACAGUAUCCUAGAAAGAGCAUUUUUAUUUUGACUUUCUUUGCAUUUUAUUGAAGGGUGUGUCACUUCAAUAUAGCGUGAUAUGGAUUGGCCUCUGGAAUAUGCAUGAAUUUUUAUUGACGUUUUCAAUCAGCCUUAAUUUUUGUGUCUGUUCGAAGUAGCACGUUCUCAAUUCCGACUGAAAGUGUCUUUCUAAUACAACACAG